UACGUAGGGUGCAAGCGUUGUCCGGAAUUAUUGGGCGUAAAGAGCUCGUAGGCGGUUUGUCGCGUCUGCUGUGAAAACUCGGGGCUUAACUCCGGGCUUGCAGUGGGUACGGGCAGACUAGAGUGCGGUAGGGGAGACUUGAAUUCCUGGUGUAGCGGUGAAGUGCGCAGAUAUCAGGAGGAACACCGGUGGCGAAGGCGGGUCUCUGGGCCGUAACUGACGCUGAGGAGCGAAAGCGUGGGGAGCGAACAGG
rnacentral:rRNA from 1 species